UAGGGAAUCUUCGGCAAUGGACGAAAGUCUGACCGAGCAACGCCGCGUGAGUGAAGAAGGUUUUCGGAUCGUAAAACUCUGUUGUUAGAGAAGAACAAGGACGUUAGUAACUGAACGUCCCCUGACGGUAUCUAACCAGAAAGCCACGGCUAACUACGUGCCAGCAGCCGCGGUAAUACGUAGGUGGCAAGCGUUGUCCGGAUUUAUUGGGCGUAAAGCGAGCGCAGGCGGUUUCUUAAGUCUGAUGUGAAAGCCCCCGGCUCAACCGGGGAGGGUAAUUGGAAACUGGGAGACUUGAGUGCAGAAGAGGAGAGAGGAAUUCCAUGUGUAGCGGUGAAAUGCGUAGAUAUAUGGAGGAACACCAGUGGCGAAGGCGGCUCUCUGGUCUGUAACUGACGCUGAGGCUCGAAAGCGUGGGGAGCAAACAGG
rnacentral:rRNA from 1 species